AAAAUGUGUUAAAGUGCAUGUGUCUGAAAAAAAAUUAUCUCAGUGAAGUGGUUGGCGAAGCCUGUUGCAUACAUCUUACUUUGCACAUUUGCCGUCCACCCAACACAUGCAAUAGAUGGUUGUCCACUUCAGGAGUUUGUCGUCCCAUAUCAAGUGCCGUUUUCCAGAUUAGGAUUCGGCACUCAGUCAUAAAUUAUAAUAACCCAGUAUUAAUUUAUAUAACACCCGGUAUAAAGCUGAAUAUAAUGACCCAGUCAUAAUGUAUAUAAUAACCCAGUGUGUAAAUUAUAAUAACCCAGUGGUAGAAUUUUAAAUUAAUUUAAAAUGAAACUUCAAAACACACAACUGCUUGAUUAACGGCCAACCACCAAAAGCUCCAAGUCGCAGAUGUGCUGGACACAUCAGCUGUCUGGGCAACGCAAACAGAUGAGCUGUUGCUAGCUGCAGACGCUCAUUGAGCACAGGAGAAUUGCUUCCCAGCAGGUUGUGUUUCUACUGCAAAACACCUGUGUCCGGCAGCCUUGCGAUCUCCGUUGGCUAUUUGCUCCGCACUUGUGGUGGCAUCGAGGCCGAGUAUCUGCGUCACCCAGGAGGAAGGCGAACGGCUGACUAACAGCUUAUGUUUUUUUUUGUUUGUUUGUUUAUUAUUGUUAAUUUACGUUAUGUUGUUUAACUAUGCAUC